CCUACGGGAGGCAGCAGUGGGGAAUAUUGCACAAUGGGGGAAACCCUGAUGCCUCUCCGCCGCUUUUGUUCUUCCUUCUUUCUUUCUUUCCCUCUCUCUCCUCCUUUAAGAAAAUGACGGUACCUGACUAAGAAGCCCCGGCUAACUACGUGCCAGCAGCCGCGGUAAUACGUAGGGGGAAAGCGUUAUCCGGAUUUACUGGGUGUAAAGGGAGCGUAGACGGCUAAUCAAGUCAGAAGUGAAAACCCAGGGCUCAACUUUGGGACUGCUUUUGAAACUGAGUAGCUAGAGUGCAGGAGAGGGAAGCGGAAUUCCUAGUGUAGCAGUGAAAUGCGUAGAUAUUAGGAGGAACACCAGUGGCGAAGGCGGCUUACUGGACUGUAACUGACGUUGAGGCUCGAAAGCGUGGGGAGCAAACAGGAUUAGAUACCCCAGUAGUC
rnacentral:rRNA from 1 species